ensembl:lncRNA
CCAGGAUUUCACGGUUCGGAUUUUCCCUUUCUUAGCUGUGCUGUUCAUUUCCUUACAAGCAGGAAUGCUGUUUGCUCUCCAAGCCGAGACGAAGAAGAGAAGCGAGAACAGUAAGAGGUAUUCAUUUGGCUGCAUUACUUUAAAUGCUUCUGGCACAGAGCUCCCAUUAGAGCUCGCGGGGAGAAGUGGCAGAAGAACAUUGUGUAUACAUUGUAGUGAUUGUACUUUCUCUGAGCAGACACGCUUGCAGGAGGCGGCAGAUUAAAGAGCCGGUGUUACUUCAGACGGAGAAAAAUAACAUCUUGCCAGUUGUGUUUAUUUGCAGGGACGCAUGAUUUAUGCUUUCCCAUUUGUAGAGUGGUUGAGAGCAAUGGAUCACGUGGCUCUGUUUAGAUAAUCCCCGAGGAAAUUCGGGCUGCAUCGGGCAGGGAGAGAUAGGGUUUGUUCUCCAAGACGAGCAAUGCUGGGAAAGGGCAGGGAGAUUUCCUCAAGUUCUAGGAAUGAAGUUGAAGGCUCUGAUCUUCUGAAAAGAUUGAGUGUGCGUUGUGGGAAUGGAGCAAUUAAGAUAACAACAAGGAGGGCCAGGCUCCUCGUGGUGAGGUCCCUGUCACAUCCCUGUGCCCUCCUGGCUUUAGCAGGACUUGCAGCAAGCAGCCAGCACUGUCCCCAGGAAGACUACAAGAAACUGAACAAGCUGGGAGAGAGGUGUCCUGAAAGCCACGCUCACAGCAUUAGGGGAGGUUUUGCAGCAAAUCAACCGAACCUUGUGUCAGUGAGAUCAAAAUAGAACCAACAGGAACUUUAAUCUGUCUCUGCUACAGAGAGAUGAAAUCAGUGCAGGCUCCAUAAAAUAAGAGUAAUGGAAACUGUUCAAGGUUAUGAGUAUCUGCAACAACAAAGUGUCUCCCAUUAAGUGAUGCACUGAAGCUGUGCAGAUGAAGUUAUAUGCUCUGGUACCACAACGAGGUACAA